GUGUCAGCAGCCGCGGUAAUACGGAAGGGGCGAGCGUUGUUCGGAAUCAUUGGGCGUAAAGGGCGCGUAGGUGGUUCUGUAUGUCUGCCGUGAAAGCGUACGGCUCAACCGUAUUUUGUCGGCAGAAACUGUAGGACUUGAGGCUGGGAGGGGCUGGCGGAAUUCCCUGUGUAGCGGUGAAAUGCGUAGAGAUGGGGGAGAACACUCGUGGCGAAGGCGGCCAGCUAGACCAGUUCUGACACUGAGGCGCGACAGCGUGGGGAGCAAACAGGAUUAGAUACCCCGGUAGUCC
rnacentral:rRNA from 1 species